rnacentral:rRNA from 1 species
CAGUCGCCGCGGUAAUACGGAGGGGGCUAGCGUUACUCGGAAUUACUGGGCGUAAAGGGCACGUAGGCGGACAGUUAAGUUGGGUGUGAAAGCCCGGGGCUCAACCUCGGAAUUGCCUUCAAUACUGGCUGUCUUGAGUAUGAUAGAGGUGUGUAGAACUCCGAGUGUAGAGGUGAAAUUCGUAGAUAUUCGGAAGAACACCAGUGGCGAAGGCGACACACUGGCUCAUUACUGACGCUGAGGCGCGAAAGCGUGGGGAGCAAACAGGAUUAGAUACCCCCGUAGUCCCUGUCUCUUAUAU